rnacentral:rRNA from 1 species
ACUCGAGUGGCGAACGGGUGAGUAACACGUGGGUAAUCUGCCCUGCACUCUGGGAUAAGCCUGGGAAACUGGGUCUAAUACUGGAUAUGACCUUUCUCCUUAUGGGGUUUGGUGGAAAGUUUUUCGGUGUAGGAUGAGCCCGCGGCCUAUCAGCUUGUUGGUGGGGUGAUGGCCUACCAAGGCGACGACGGGUAGCCGGCCUGAGAGGGUGAUCGGCCACAUUGGGACUGAGAUACGGCCCAG